UCAAUGCAAGGAUUGCAAAUUUGUUUAUUGGUGAAUCACAUGAACCCUAGCUUUCGACCUUGCUCUGCCCUAGUGAAAAACGCAGGUCUACCUCCCUCUCUUCACCUCUCAAAAUCAGUAUUUGUCAAAGCAAAAAUUGCAAAUUUGUUUGUUGGUGAAGCUGGUGCACCCUAGCUUUCGACCUUGCUCAUUGUUUAAUCCAAAGUACUCUACACUAGUAGAAAUGCGGUAUUGCCUCCCACUCU
rnacentral:lncRNA from 1 species